rfam:Capsicum annuum cultivar Zunla-1 chromosome 11, whole genome shotgun sequence
AUGUUGGUGAUGUAGGCAAUCACUAAGAAAAGAUUUGAAACUCUCCCACGCAUGAUAUAAGUUUUCAUCUGGCUUUUGCUUAAAACUCAGAAUCUCACUAUGUAACCU